CAUUUCAAGAACGAUGCCGUACCUUGGCGAUUGGAUGUGGAGAAGGAACCCACAAAGGGACCCACCCCUGGAUCGAUCUCUAAUCCAUCUACAAGGCAGGUAGGCGGGAUGAGUAACCGCAACGGUAAAAAAAGGCAUGGUUUGAAUUUAUUUGUCCUUUUUGGCCAAUUGCCCUUUGAAUUUUCGAUAUUACCUAUUCAUCCCUCCGCACAUCCAAUUAUAUAUCCCCGUCCGUUUAUUCAUAAAUAACAAUUAUAAUUAACUCUAUUAAUUAAAAUACUUAUGUAUAAAUAAUGUGAUUUUAAGAUAUCUUUAGGUUUCUUGAGAUGGCGGUUUCUUUGGGGGUUUGGAUUUGAACAAAGGCUGUGAGAAAGUGAGCUUGGAGGUGACUUUUGCAGUGCUGACUCUCAGUACUUUUUCCUUCUACGAGAAGAAGAAGGAAACACCACUGUUUCCUUAUCAUCGCACGUACAUGAAGCUGUUGAGCUCAUGGCGAUGAUGGUAAGCUUGUCGUGGUGGUGUCGGUUCAUCUAAUUGGAUGCAUCACCUUCUAUGGAGAUUUGGUGUUCACCUUGCAUGCAUGAUAUGAGAUGCUGCAACCUCUUCAGUCCUCAUCUCCAUUGAUCAAGCAAGCUCUUGAAUACUGUUCAGUGUGUGAGACAGACUGCAAAUUUGCUUCUCUUGCCGAUCAGAGAAGGAUUCAUGCUCCAGGAGAAUGAAUGAGCAUUACCCAUGCUGGAAAAUUCCUUCUCCUUGGCCUCUGGUCUGUCUUUAUCUUCAGCAUCUGCCUGCCUCACUUUAAUACACACUGAUACCAACAAAUCCCUGCAGCAUUAACUCUCGGGGACCAUCUACCACACAGCCAUGCUCCUGAUGCUGAUGAGCUGGGGUUUGGGUGGUAGCUCGGCUUGUGUUGGCCAUGGAGGUAAUUGGCUCGAAGGUGAUAGGGAAAUGGAAAGCUUCCAUCUUCCCCCCCCACUCUCCUCUGUUGUACAUCAUACUCUUGCCACCGUUUGGAACAGUUCUACACCGGAAGGUGUGGAGAAAGGAAGAAAACUAUUUGAUUACCACUGGUAGAUCUGUGCAAUGGUGUCUCACCAUUUGACUGGCCACUAUAUGACAGGAAACCCUUUGCUGGAGAUCAAACCAUGGUUAAUGUACUUCUUAUGCCAAUACUUUAUGGUACAUCAUUGAGCAUCACUGUUGUGUGUUGAUAGAUUCUAAAGUUCAGAUUCUGCUGCACCUGCCUUGGCUUCAAACUAUUAUCUGUAGCCAUUAUGUCAGUAGUUGCACCAGUGGGGAUUCUCUCUCUCUCUCUCUCUCUCUUUCUUUCUUUAUGUUCCAUCAUGCUAUAAAUUAUCAUGGUGAAUGAAAAGGGUGAGAGCGACAAGAUGCAACACCUACACUUUUUCCAAGGAUCAUCUCAGCCUCUAAAGAUUGCUCACUUGAGCAUUGCACACAAGAUAUCACCAUCUCAUACAAGGUUUUGAGGUUGGAAGUUGAGUCAACCCUGACAUGACCAAAGAGUAGCAGCAGAUGCAUCAAGGAUUAAGAUCUUUCCGUGUGGGGUGAUGCUGUCAGCUCAAUCUCGGGAUCGGUCACUGUGGGCGAGCAGUCUAACUACUACAUCACACUGUCGAACAUAUGAUCGAUGGUGUUGCUCCAUUUGGCUCCAUUGUUGCUUGGACAUGGAUUUGGAGGCCUCCCCACGACAGUGGAUGACUGUGUCAGAGCAGGAUAAAAGCAAUCAAGUCAAAACCUCAAGAUCCAACUCCUUGUUGGAUCAUCUGCAACUUGUUCUUGUGAUGUAUAGGCAUUUUAUGUGAUGCCAGCAGGGGAAGGUAGGCCAAUCAGAGCACUCAUGUCAGACUGCAUUCUGUGAAGGGAUGAAAGGUUGAAAGAGCAGAUUUUGCCUGCCAUCACUCUGCAGGCAACACUGCAAGCUCUGAGAUGCAGUGUUCAUCUCUGGAUUAAGCAGUCACCAGCAUCCCAGAUGCCUGAUGACUUUGCCCAGCAAUCUGAGCAAAAGUCCAACUGUUCCACAGAUUGGGUUAUAAGAUGUUUUGAGCUGGAAUCCUCUGAUGCAUUGGGGACUCCUGUGCAGGAUUUAAGCUGUCCAACAAUUCCAUGGCAGUGGCCAGACAUUUAUGUACCCACCUUGCCUCCUAAAAUAUCAGCAAAAAAGCAGUAUUUGACAUAGUGGUCCACUUUUGAGGUCACCUGAGACAUAACCAGUUGAACCAAAUCCAAUAAAACCAAGAAGACGGUUGAGCCACACCAGGAAAAAGAAAAAGGGAACUGAGAACUCAGAAUUCAACAGAAGCAGACUUCAAUUCAAGAUUAGACAUCAAGUGCAGUGGAGUUGGAUGACAAUGACAGAGAUGGCAGGUCACAAUCGACGGAAGCAUCUUUCUUCUUUCCGAUGGAAAAAUCAAGGAAAACUUCCAUUCAAGCAGUAUCCGUACAUCACUUGCAAGUACACAUCACCCAUAUCUGUUUGUAAUG